rnacentral:rRNA from 1 species
GUCUAUGGCCAUACCACCCUGAAGGUGUCCAAUCUCAUCUGAUCUUGGAAGCUAAGCAAGCUCAGGCCUGAUUAGUACUUGGAUGGGAGAAAGUACUCUACCACUGCUGGGUGUGGUGGUGCAUACC